rnacentral:rRNA from 1 species
CAGUAUGAGUUUGAUCAUGGCUCAGGACGAACGCUGGCGGCGUGCCUAAUACAUGCAAGUCGAGCGGACAGAAGGGAGCUUGCUCCCGGAUGUUAGCGGCGGACGGGUGAGUAACACGUGGGUAACCUGCCUGUAAGACUGGGAUAACUCCGGGAAACCGGAGCUAAUACCGGAUAGUUCCUUGAACCGCAUGGUUCAAGGAUGAAAGACGGUUUCGGCUGUCACUUACAGAUGGACCCGCGGCGCAUUAGCUAGUUGGUGAGGUAACGGCUCACCAAGGCGACGAUGCGUAGCCGACCUGAGAGGGUGAUCGGCCACACUGGGACUGAGACACGGCCCAGACUCCUACGGGAGGCAGCAGUAGGGAAUCUUCCGCAAUGGACGAAAGUCUGACGGAGCAACGCCGCGUGAGUGAUGAAGGUUUUCGGAUCGUAAAGCUCUGUUGUUAGGGAAGAACAAGUGCAAGAGUAACUGCUUGCACCUUGACGGUACCUAACCAGAAAGCCACGGCUAACUACGUGCCAGCAGCCGCGGUAAUACGUAGGUGGCAAGCGUUGUCCGGAAUUAUUGGGCGUAAAGGGCUCGCAGGCGGUUUCUUAAGUCUGAUGUGAAAGCCCCCGGCUCAACCGGGGAGGGUCAUUGGAAACUGGGAAACUUGAGUGCAGAAGAGGAGAGUGGAAUUCCACGUGUAGCGGUGAAAUG